UUUUGGCGGUUCGAUUUUCUUUACCCAAUUUAAUAAUAUGUUCCAGUGUAAUCUUCAACUUUUUCUAUGACCUGAUUACCGAAGCGCACAACAAUAUUAUCAAGUGAAGUCAUGAUUUUUGUUUUACAUAGGUUCAUGGUUAGCCCUAAUUUUUAAAAACAAUUCUGAGCUCUUCCAGCCUUUCCUGUAAUUCACCAACAUCCUGACUGUUCUUUUCUGUAUCCCGUCAAUAGUUCUUAUAUCUCGAAUCAACUCUUGCAUUAUUUGGGGCUUCAAAGAUAGCAUAGUUCUACGGAGUCAAACGCCUUAUUAUAGUCACCGAAGAUGUAGUGGUUCGUUGUAUUCGUUGCAUUUUUCUACUAACGAUCAGAUUGACGGCAUGUGUUCAAUUGUACUAAAGCCUUUACGGAAUCAAGCCUGUUCAGAAGGUUGGUAAUCAUCUAAUUUGUUGUAGAUAUAUACGGACUCGGGACUGUUACAAUAACGAAAGGCAGUGCAAACCGGCUACGGGUUCUCCAGGGGGCAAUGGAAAGACGGGGGCUGAACGUGAGCCUCAGAGAUAAAGUCAAGAAUGAGGAGAUCUGGAGGAAAACAAGACUCAAGAAUGUAAUGAAACAGAUUCCUAGCAUGAUGAGAGAAAUGAUGUAAAAUGGACGAAAAAAGUCAUGCAAUGGAGACCCAAACAAUCUAAGCGAGAGUGGACCGACCGAAAGAAAGAUGGCGUAACUAAAUUCAACGCCAAUCCUGAACGAAUUGGAUGAAGACAGCCCAGGGCAGACAAGCAAAGAGAGGGAUGGAAGGGGCGUACGUUCCGGAGUGGAUGUGCAUGGGCUGAUAUGAUGAUGAGACUAAUGAAGGCCAUUGACAGCAUGAAUAUGGGAACAUCUACUGCAUCACCAUCAUCAUCAUCAUCAUCGUCAAUCAGCCUAUUGUCAUCUGCUGCUGCACAAAGGCCUCUCCCAGUGUCUUCCAUCUGUUCCAGUUUUGUGCCUCUCCGAUCAAUUCCCCGCAGCUCUUCUGAGAUCGUCUGUCCAUCGGGUUGGCGGCCGUACUCUGCUGCGGUUGUCAGCGCGCGGUCUCCAUUCGAGUAUUUUUUAGUCCAUCGGUCGUUCCGCAUUCUAGCUACAUCCCAUUUCAAUUUCUGCUUUGCCACAUGCUCGAUCACAUCGGUCACUUCUGUUCUUCGCCUUAUCUCGUCGUUCGUGACGUGAUUCCUCAGUGAUAUCCCAAGCAUUGAUCUUUCCAUUUUUCGUUGACGUUAAAUCCCAAACAACAAUAAAAAUUAAUUGGACAUCGAGAUCUGGUCUAAAAGAGUGCUAAGUGUCCAUGGUACCCUUUUCGGCUAUCCUAUGGGUGUAAUAAUUUCGCCAUCCAUUGGACAUCCGAAAAGGUUUCAUCAAGGAAAAGGAUCAGUGAAGUUGCAGCAGUUCGUCAAAAUAUUCUGCCCACAACAAAAGUAACUGACGAAACUCGACCAGAACUGGUUAAGGCGAGUGUAUGGGAUCCUAAAAUAUGAACU